rnacentral:rRNA from 1 species
CCGCCGGCGACCGGCGCACGGGUGAGUAACACGUAUGCAACCUGGCCGUGACAGAUGGAUAACCGGGAGAAAUCCCGCCUAAUACAACAUAAUGCCGGGAGGGGACAUCCCCUGCCGGCCAAAGGGGGCGACCCCGGUCAUGGAUGGGCAUGCGGCGCAUUAGGUAGUUGGUGGGGCAACGGCCCACCAAGCCGACGAUGCGUAGGGGUUCUGAGAGGAAGGUCCCCCACAUUGGAACUGAGACACGGUCCAAACUCCUACGGGAGGCAGCAG